UUGAAGUUAAAAAGGAUUUUUUGUAGUGUUUGAACAAGUUUCCAAAUACGCUCAUGGAUGUUGUAUCUAUCGAAGAAACUUUGCAAUUGCCCCCAUAAAGCUGAUUUUCAGUAGUUAUCUGAUGGUAAUACAAAUGUGAGUCUAAGUCUGUAGAAAUGAGAAAGUAUAGAUAAAAGAUCCAUUGACUCAUUGUCUUAAGGUUUUGGAUAGAGAUUGGUGUCAAUUCCUUACAUGGUUGGACUCAGAUCUCAUCACCUCCCGAAUUCAGCAAAUGAUGGUUCUAAUGCAUGAGCGAGUUGAGAUCCUCUUGAGGAGACAAGGGAUGCAGUGAUUGGUGGCGUUUGGAAGGAAAAGAUGGUGCUUUCCUGAACGAAGGUCGCUUCUUUAUACGUUGCAGAGUUUGCCUGGCGUAGAUGCUAUAAAGAAAAGGUGCAGCUCUCUCCUUGAAUUUGAGAAUGAAAAAGAAAAGAACUCUAAGCAAUAUGAGGAUGAUCAUGAUUGCAGCUAUGUCCCACCACUUUGAAUUAUCAACUUGAAUUCCAAGCAUGGUUUUGAGAAUAAAUUCUCCUUUCAGUUUUGGGUCACCAGGUUCUAAGGGGUCAAACUCCAUUCCAAUCAAGUCAUUCUUGAAAGCCCCCUGCAUUCCCAUAAUCAGUAAGUAAGGCUAAAUUUCACUCCCAGAUAAUUCAGUUCAUAUACCCUUUUGAUCAUGGCCUUUUGAAGGUAACGCCUCUAAAUUUACCUCUAAUCCCCAUGCGCCGUAAUUGAUGUAUGAUAUUGGGUAACGCCAGAAGAAUUUGGGAAUAUCAGGGAGCGGACGGAAAAAGCCAGAAGUCAUCAUCAUAAGACCCUGCACACAUAUACACUGAAAUCAGCAACAACGAUCAUUCAAUUGAAAAUGGGAUUAUAUUAUAUAUAGUAUAUAGUCCUCUUACAAUAUAUCCCGCUCCAAUCGUCAAUCCCAUGAGGAAGUUGGGAACCAGUGAAGCUAUAACCAUCAUGGAGCUCUCCACAACCGCAAUGCAGCCCAGAAGAUCAAGAGUGAUAUACAAAAAGUGUGAAAAUUCUGAACUAGACUUAACCAUAUAAUAGCUUAUAGCCCCCGUAGCUGUGGACAUCACUGCCAAAAACGGAAAGGAAGACAGAAAAUUUGAGAGAAUGUAGACUCCAACGCCAUAAUAACCACCCAUUCUUUCUUUGUAGAAGACCUGCAUCCAGAGGGUAAAAGAAGGGAAGCUCCCAAUGGACAUGAACGUCAUGAAACCUGAGAGAAAACCAGCACAUGAUCCUCUCGCAAAAAUGGCUCUGUAACUCGUUCCAACAUCAUGGAAGAUUAUUCCAACGCACAAAGAUAAGGCGAUAUAG